CCUACGGGAGGCAGCAGUGAGGAAUCUUGGUCAAUGGCCGGAAGGCUGAACCAGCCAUGCCGCGUGAAUGUCAGUGCCCUAUGGGCGUUAAACUUCUUUUGUGCGGGAGCAAUAAUGGUCACGUGUGGCCAGACGAGAGUACCGUACGAAUAAGCAUCGGCUAACUCCGUGCCAGCAGCCGCGGUAAUACGGGGGAUGCAAGCGUUAUCCGGAUUUAUUGGGUUUAAAGGGUGCGUAGGCUGUGAGGUAAGUCAGCGGUGAAAUGCCCCCGCUCAACGGGGUGAAGGGCCAUUGAUACUGCCUGGCUGGAAUGCGGAUGCGGUGGGAGGAAUGUGUGGUGUAGCGGUGAAAUGCAUAGAUAUCACACAGAACACCGAUUGCGAAGGCAUCUCACGAAUCCGCGAUUGACGCUGAUGCACGAAAGCGUGGGUAUCAAACAGGAUUAGAUACCCCUGUAGUC
rnacentral:rRNA from 1 species